rnacentral:rRNA from 1 species
GACGAACGCUGGCGGCGUGCUUAACACAUGCAAGUCGAACGGAAAGGCCCUGCUUUUGUGGGGUGCUCGAGUGGCGAACGGGUGAGUAACACGUGAGUAACCUGCCCUUGACUUUGGGAUAACUUCAGGAAACUGGGGCUAAUACCGGAUAGGAGCUCCUGCUGCAUGGUGGGGGUUGGAAAGUUUCGGCGGUUGGGGAUGGACUCGCGGCUUAUCAGCUUGUUGGUGGGGUAGUGGCUUACCAAGGCUUUGACGGGUAGCCGGCCUGAGAGGGUGAACGGCCACCUUGGUACUGAGAUACGGACCAGACUGCUACGGGGGGCAGCAGUGGGGAAUAUUGCACAAUGGGAGGACGCCUGAUGAAGCAACGCCGCGUGCGGGAUGACGGCCUUUGGGUUGUAAACCGCUUUAGCCUGUGACGAAGCGUGAGUGACGGUAAUGGGUAAAGAAGCACCGGCUAACUACGUG